rnacentral:lncRNA from 1 species
GAAGAUGUCAACCACCAACCUAUUCAACAUACGACAUGGUCUAUUAGAGUCACUAAGGGACUAACUCGUCUUGUUCAAUGAGUCCACCAUCUGGGUUGUUCCCCCAAACUAAGAAAUGUUUGUGGGGUGUUCCAAAAUUAACUUAAGGUGACUCACUUCAACGAGUCCCUCACCUAGAAGCCAACACUUUCAAUAGUUGAAGUGAUCACCAGA